CACGUAGGCACCAAGCGUUGUCCGGAUUUAUUGGGCGUAAAGGGCUCGUAGGCGGUUCGGUAAGUCGGGUGUGAAACUCUGGGCUCAACCCAGAGCCGCCACCCGAUACUGCUGUGACUCGAGUGCGGUAGGGAGGCGGGAAUUCCUGGUGUAGGCGGUGAAAUGCGCAGAUAUCAGGAGGAACACCAGUGGCGAAGGCGCCGCUCUGGGCCGUGACUGACGCUGAAGAGCGAAAGCGUGGGUAGCAAACAGG
rnacentral:rRNA from 1 species